AGUCAUUGGCUGGCAUGCAGUCCUUCUUGACAGCCAUGACCUACUGCUCCUACUCCUUUGGGUUCUACUUGAGCUCCCUUCUCGUCUCUCUCGUGAACAAGAUCACAUCGAGCUCAUCCAGGGAUGGCUGGCUCAGCGACAAUGACCUCAACAAGGACAGGCUCGACCUCUUCUACUGGCUGAUGGCUGCCCUCAGCCUCCUCAACUUCCUCAGCUACCUCCUCUGUUCAAGAUGGUACUGUAGCAGCCAAUCUCCAUCGGCUGAUCUACCACCAGGUCCCCAUGGAGAAGACAUUAACCACCUCAACUUCACUUCCUCCAAGCACGUUGCAGCCGAUCAGGACAUUCUGUAAAGAGCCAUCACCUCUUCCAUGAUUCUUUAUCUGUACUCUU
rnacentral:lncRNA from 1 species